rnacentral:lncRNA from 1 species
CACUUCAGUCGGUCACUCUCGACUAGCCAUUCUACACCAAUGCAGAUGAAGAAGAUAAGAUGAGAGGGAAUGAGACCUCCCAAUCAUCACAGAAUGAUGGCAGAUUUUGUCUUCCUGCGGGUAAUUUUUCAUCAUUUGUCCCUUUCUCUUCCAUUUCUUUUACUCUAAACAUAUUCUACGUCGCAACGAGAAGGAAGAAGGUGUCAAAUGGGAAGCUCCAAAGGAAGCUGCACUACUCCAUAACGUGAUCGAGGCGUAAUUCAAAUAUUGGGAGAGUGACAAAAAGAAUUUACUCCAAUUUGGCCUCGUUCCGUCUUGGUCACUUCGCUUUUCUCAUCGACAGGUCUAUUCUGUACAACCAGGCCACAAGAUAUUGGCGAGCCAAGGAGAGAUUCACGCACGCACGAUAACAGACGGUCCCAAAAAUACGUGCAGAAGCUGCACUAGGUGGGAACAACUAUGUAGCAGGCAUCUGAGAAGUCGUUUUCCUUCAGAACUGGACGGUCGAGAGACAAGGUUCGACACAUUGGCACAUUUCGUCAUUCGAUCUAUCCAGCUGAAUCUCACUACUGACAGCGCAAAUUGGAAAGGGUGAUGUGUUUAAUGAUGAAAUCUAUCAUCUGCUGCUAGUUUCUGUUUCCAUACCCAGCAAAUUAUUCAGAUCUCAGCUGGUUUGAUGAUAAGCAGUAAAGAGAAGAAGCAUUUGCAAUCUCUCUGAUGGGUAAUUUCAGUACCGAAUCCUGAC